rnacentral:rRNA from 1 species
GAAUCUCAGGUCAGGCGGGGCUACCCACUAAGUUUAAGCAUAUCAAUAGGCGGAUGAAAAGAAACUAACAAGGAUUCCCUUAGUAAUGGCGAGCGAACCGGGAAAAGCCCACCAUGAGAAUCGCUCUCCCUCGAUGUCCGAUUUGUAGUCUGGAGAAGCGUCCACAGCGGUGGAUCGGGCCCAAGUCCCCAGGAAGGGGGCGCUAGAGAGGGUGAGAGCCCUGUCGUUCAUGGACCCUAUCGCACCACGAGGCAUUGUCAGCGAGUCGGGUUGUUUGGGAAUGCAGCCCCAAUCGGGCGGUAAAUUCUGUCCAAGGCUAAAUACUAGCGAGAGACAAAUAGCGAACAAGUACCGCAAGGGAAAGAUGUAAAGGACUUUGAAAAGAGAGCCAAAUAGUGCUUGAAAUUGUUAGGAGGGAAGCGGAUGGAGGCCGACGAUGUGCCUCGGUCGGAUGUGGAACGGCGAGAGCCGAUACGCCAAUUAACUUGGGGCAUGGAUCGACGCGAAUUGUGAUGGUGGCCCAAGCUUGGGCUGAUGACAUGCUCGUGGAGACGUCAUCAUCGCAUUUGUGGUUGGAAGCGUGCGCCGUUUGAUGUGCUUCGACACCUGUGUGCUUCGGGCGUCGGCCUGUGGACUCUCUAUUCGGUCCGUCUUGAAACAUGGACCAAGGAGUCAGACAUGUGUGCGAGUCAGCGGGCAAGUAAACAUGUAAGGCGCAAUGAAGCUGAUUGGUGGGAUCCCCUUGUGGGUUGCACCACCGACCGACCUUGAUUUUCUGUGAAGGGUUCGAGUGAGAACAUACCUGUUGGGACCCGGAAGAUGGUGAACUAUGCCUCAGCGGGGCGAAGCCAGAGGAAACUCUGGUGGAGGCCCGCAACGAUACUGACGUGCAAAUCGUUCGUCUAAUUUGGGUGUAAGGGCGAAAGACUAAUCGAACCGUCUAGUAGCUGUUUCCCUCCGAAGCUUCCCUUAGGAUAGCUGGAGCCUGGGGGUGAGUUCUAUCAGGUAAAGCUAAUGAUUAGAGGCAUCAGGGGUGAAACUCCCUCGACCUAUUCUCAAAAUUUAAAUAGGUAGGACGGCGUGGUUGCUUUGUUGAGCCACGCCACGAAAUCGAAAUCCGCUAAGGAGUGUGUAACAAAUCACCUGCCGAAUCAACUAGCCUCGAAAAUGGAUGGCGCUAAAGCACGCGAAGAUGAGAAAGGUUCCAUGUGAACGAAACUUGUACAUGGGUUAGUCGAAUCCUAAGGGACGGGGGAAGCGCGUUUGAUAGCGCUCUAAGCACGCACUCCGAAAGGGAGUCGGGUUAAAAUUCCUGAACCGGGAUGUGGCAACUGACGACAACAUUAGGGAGUUCGGAGACGUCGGCGAGGUCCCCCAUAAAGAGUUAUCUUUUCUAUUUAACAGCCUGCCUACCCUAGAAAUGGCUCAGCCAGAGGUAGGCUCCGGUAGCUGGAAGAGCACCGCACGUCGCAUGGUGUCCAGUGCGCCAGUGGCGGCCCUUGAAAAUUCGAAGGACCGGGUGCCUCCCUCGCUCGGUCGUACUCAAAACCGCAUCAGGUAUCGAAGGUGAACAACCUUUGGUCGAUGGAACAAUGUAGGCAAGGGAAGUCAGCAAAAUGGAUCCGUAACCUCGAGAAAGGGUUUGGGUCUAAGGGCAGGGCAUGGGUCCCAAAUCCGAACCCGUUGGCUGUCGGUGGACUGCUCGAGCUGCUCUCAUGGGGAUAGCGAGUCGCCGCGUGCCGGUCGGGGGAUGGAUUGGGAACAAGCCCUUUGGGGCCUCUUCCCCGGGCGUCGAACAGUCGACUCAGAACUCGUACGAACAAGGGGAAUUCGACUGUUUAAUUAAAACAAAGCAUUGCAAUGGUCCCUUCGAAUGUUGAUGCAAUGUGAUUUCUGCCCAAUGCUCUGAAUGUCAAAGUGAAGAAAUUCAACCAAGCACGGGUAAACGGCGGGAGUAACUAUGACUCUCUUAACGUAGCUAAAUGCUUCGUCAUCUAAUUAGUGACGCGCAUGAAUGGAUUAACGAGAUUCCCACUGUCCCUGUCUACUAUCCAGCAAAACCACAGCCAAGGGAACGGGCUUGGCGGAAUCAACGGGGAAAGAAGACCCUCUUGAGCUUGACUCUAGUCCGACUUUGUGAAAUGACUUGAUGUUAGUUAUCAGUGGCAGAAUACACCUAGAAGGUGGGGUUGAAUAGGUGUGGUGGAGCUCACGUUCCGCUUUUUGGGUUUUUCACACUUGCUAAAAAAUGGCCAGUUAAUCUAUUAAGCACUAUUCCUAAUCAAUUAAACAUAGUAAAAAAAAAAUGCAGAAAAUCUUGUUUAACAACUCUUUAGCACGGCAGGUUAGGAGAAAUCAGGCAAUGAUACAACAUAUAUUUUUACAUAAAAUUAAACUAGUUAUAGUAAAAAACCAGUAUACAAAUUAUCAUGUUAUAUCAUGCAAUAUUACAACUUGAAAUGUAAAAGAGAAAGGGAUAGAAAAAAUUGCGCAAGGAUUUUAUCCUGGUUUGUUUUGUGGUCCACUACAAAACUACAUCCAGGCCUCCCCUUCUAAUCUUGGGAGAUUUUCUUCAUCACUAUAGAACACAAUGUAUCAUUACAUACACACUUCCAAUUACAAGACUCGAUUGCUCCUUUCUUGGAACCCAAAGAACUUCGUUACCCUUGGUUUGACCUUUCCUAAAACCACAACCCAAGAAAACCUUUCUUACCGCGAUUCGGCCCCAACGAAUAUAUCGCUCUUUAUCUCAAGACAUCCAAGUCUUUGUGAAGAACACCUUACCUAACCGCAGCUAGGAUUUUCCUAAUCCUUGAAUUACAAUGCUUUGAGUUAUGAAGGAGUACGUAAUACUCGGAUUUUACAAUAAAGAUCAAAGACUAAAACCUAAGCAAGAACUCACAAGACUUCCUAGUCUAAUAUGAAUGUACAUGCAUGAGGUUUCUGAAAUUAUGCAGUCACUGAAAACUAUCUCUUUUCUUUUCAAGAAACACAAGAAUGAUGCAAGAAGGAUUUUCAAAGAACAUGCAAUAUGAAUAUGAAACUUAAAGCCUUAGCAUGAUCUAAUUUUUCUCCUAAUACAACAUGCAAUAUUUUCUCCUAGUUAUGACAAUGAGUAACUCGAAAAUAUGCUAAGAGAAUGAUGUAAAAAUGUAUGGGCUCUUAUGCCACAUAUGCUGAGAUUUCAGUUUAAAUAGAAAACUGUCUAAAGUCUCAGUUAAUCGAUUAAGUACCCAUUUAAUCAAUUAACACGUUGUUGAAAAUAACGGUUUUCAGUUUUUCAGUUAUCUAUUAAAAAUGUGAUUCUGUUAAUCGAUUAACACUAUUCACAAUUGAUUAAGUUAAUGGAUUAACAGAGUUUAUAAUCCAUUAAACAAUGUAAAAUUAGCUUGAAACAGUGUAAAAUCAACUUGUUAAUGCAUGGUGAACUACCAAUAUGAUAUAUGCUCAUGUAAUACAAGAUUUCCAAAUAUAAUACAUUUAAUGUACAAAAUCAAUGUAUUCAAAUGCAUGAACCUAAUUAUCAUAUAUUUCUAGAUGAUGUCUCAUUUUAGUGGAUUAAUUACUUUAUUAAGUCUUGUGAGACUCACACCUAGGUUUACCUAACCUAGACUCAAUAUCUAUGGUAAGCAUCUUAGACUUCUAAAACAAUAAUAAAGAAUUAUAACCUAAGUCUAAUAAGUCACCACUUGAGUCCUCGACAUGUUGUAUGUUGAAUGAUCUUCAAGCUUGUCUUCAUAUUGGUCUUCAUGUUUUUCUUGAUGUUUGUCUUCAUCAAAACAUAGAUCAAUCCCAAUGGUGCACUUCACUUUCACUUGAGAGGUGUAGGAUAAGUGGGAGCUGGAAACAGCGGAAGUGAAAUAUCACUACUUUUAACGUUAUUUUACUUAUUCCGUGAAUCGGAGGCGGGGCGCAGCCCCUGUUUUUGGACCCAAGUUUGGCCUCGGUCGAUCGAUAUAGGCGGAAGACAUUGUCAGGUGGGGAGUUUGGCUGGGGCGACACAUCUGUUAAAAGAUAAAGCAUGUGUCCUAAGAUGAGCUCAACGAGAACAAAAAUCUCGUGUGGAACAAAAGGGUAAAAGCUCAUUUGAUCAUGAUUUCCAGUAGGAAUAUUAACUAUGAAAGUGUGGCCUAUCGAUCCUUUAGUCCUUCGGAAUUUGAAGCUAUAGGUGUCAUAAAAGUUACCACAGGGAUAACUAGGUUAUGGCAGCCAAGCGUUCAUGGCGAUGUUGCUUUUUGAUCCUUCGAUGUUGGCGCUUCCUAUCACUGUGAAGCAGAAUUCACCAAGUGUUGGAUUGUUGACCCACCAAUAGGGAACGUGAGCUGGGUUUAGACCAUCAUGAGACAGGUUAGUUUUACCUUACUGAUGACAGUAUUGCAAUAGUAAUUCAACCUAGUACGAGAGCAACCGUUGAUUCGCACAAUUGGUCAUUGCGCUUGGUUGAAAAGCCAGUGGCACGAAGCUACUGCGCGUUGGAUUAUGACUUAAUGUAUCUAAGUCAUAAUCCGGGCUAGAAGUGAUGCGUGUGUCAGUCGCCCGUUUGCCGACCAGUAGUAGGGGGUGAUAAGUGCCAAACAUACCUAAACAAACAUACCUAAAAAUCAUACAUUUUUAUGGCACUUAUCUUAAGCAUAAUUGAGAAUAACCAACUUAGAACAAUACUUUUUGUAU